rnacentral:ncRNA from 1 species
UUGAGCCGUGUGAGGUGAAAAUCUCACGCACGGUUCUGAGGGGGGAAUGGGGCUGAGAAGCCCCUGACCUACCCGGU